ACGGAGGGUGCAAGCGUUAUUCGGAUUUAUUGGGUUUAAAGGGUGCGUAGGCGGCUUUUUAAGUCAGUGGUGAAAUCCUGUCGCUCAACGCUAGAAUUGCCAUUGAUACUGAAAAGCUUGAGUUCAGUUGAGGUAAGCGGAAUGCGUAGUGUAGCGGUGAAAUGCGUAGAUAUCAGGCGGAACACCGGUUGCGAAGGCAGCUAUCUAGACGGACACUGACGCUGAUACGCGAAAGCGUGGGGAUCGAACAG
rnacentral:rRNA from 1 species